rnacentral:rRNA from 1 species
GACGAACGCUGGCGGCGUGCUUAACACAUGCAAGUCGAACGAUGAAGCUGGAGCUUGCUCCAGUGGAUUAGUGGCGAACGGGUGAGUAACACGUGAGCAAUCUGCCCUUGACUCUGGGAUAACUGCGGGAAACUGUAGCUAAUACCGGAUAUGACACCUUGGGGCAUCCCGAGGUGUGGAAAGAAUUUCGGUCAAGGAUGAGCACGCGGCCUAUCAGCUUGUUGGGGAGGUAACGGCUCACCAAGGGGACGACGGGUAGCCGGCCUGAGAGGGUGACCGGCCACACGGGAACUGAGACACGGUCCAGACGCCUACGGGAGGCAGCAGUGGGUAAUAUUGCACAAUGGGCGAAAGCCUGAUGCAGCAACGCCGCGUGAGGGAUGACGGCCUUCGGGUUGUAAACCUCUUUUAGCAGGGAAGAAGCGAAAGUGACGGUACCUGCAGAAAAAGCACCGGCUAACUACGUGCCAGCCGCCGCCGUAA